UACGUAGGGUGCAAGCGUUACUCGGAAUUACUGGGCGUGAAGCGUGCGCAGGCGGUUCGGAAAGAGAGGUGUGAAAUCCCAGGGCUUAACCUUGGAACUGCACUUCUAACUACCGGGCUAGAGUACGUCAGAGGGGGGUAGAAUUCCACGUGUAGCAGUGAAAUGCGUAGAGAUGUGGAGGAAUACCGAUGGCGAAGGCAGCCCCCUGGGAUGAUACUGACGCUCAUGCACGAAAGCGUGGGGAGCAAACAGG
rnacentral:rRNA from 1 species